GAUGAACGCUAGCUACAGGCUUAACACAUGCAAGUCGAGGGGCAGCAUGACGAUAGCUUGCUAUUGUUGAUGGCGACCGGCGCACGGGUGAGUAACGCGUAUCCAACCUUCCCUAUAGUAGAGGAUAGCCCGGCGAAAGUCGGAUUAAUACUCUAUGUUUUCCAAUGCAGACAUCUAAGUUGGAACAAAGGUUCACCGCUAUAGGAUGGGGAUGCGUCUGAUUAGGUUGUUGGCGGGGUAACGGCCCACCAAGCCUACGAUCAGUAGGGGUUCUGAGAGGAAGGUCCCCCACAUUGGAACUGAGACACGGUCCAAACUCC
rnacentral:rRNA from 1 species